rnacentral:piRNA from 1 species
CCAAUAGACAAACCAAUUCUUCUCUUACAUU